rfam:Ixodes scapularis strain Wikel colony gcontig_1108378824192, whole genome shotgun sequence.
CCUUGGUUAGCUCAGUCGGUAGAGCGCUCCACUGGAAACGGAGAGGUCUCUGGAUUCGAUACCAGGAUCAGGCG